rnacentral:rRNA from 1 species
CCUCGUCGUUAGUUGCUAACAGUUAGGCUGAGAACUCUAACGAGACUGCCUUCGUAAGGAGGAGGAAGGUGAGGACGACGUCAAGUCAUCAUGGCCCUUACGGCCAGGGCUACACACGUGCUACAAUGGGGUGUACAGAAAGCUGCAAUAUCGCGAGAUGGAGCAAAUCUCAAAAACACCUCCCAGUUCGGAUUGUUCUCUGCAACUCGAGAACAUGAAGUUGGAAUCGCUAGUAAUCGUAGAUCAGCAUUGCUACGGUGAAUACGUUCCCGGGUCUU